CCUACGGGCGGCAGCAGUAGGGAAUAUUGCUCAAUGGGGGAAACCCUGAAGCAGCAACGCCGCGUGGAGGAUGAAGGUUUUCGGAUUGUAAACUCCUUUUGUUAGAGAAGAGAAUGACGGUAUCUAACGAAUAAUCACCGGCUACCUCCGUGCCAGCAGCCGCGGUAAUACGGAGGGUGCAAGCGUUACCCGGAAGCACGGGGCGUAAAGCGCGCGUAUGCGGGAUAGCAAGUCAGAUGUGAAAUCCUAUGGCUUAACCAUAGAACUGCAUUUGAAACUGUUAUUCUAGAGUAUGGGAGAGGUAGGUGGAAUUCUUGGUGUAGGGGUGAAAUCCGUAGAGAUCAAGAGGAAUACUCAUUGCGAAGGCGACCUGCUAGAACAUAACUGACGCUGAUGCGCGAAAGCGUGGGGAGCAAACAGGAUUAGAUACCCGAGUAGUC
rnacentral:rRNA from 1 species